GACGAACGCUGGCGGCGUGCUUAACACAUGCAAGUCGAACGGUAAGGCCCUUCGGGGUACACGAGUGGCGAACGGGUGAGUAACACGUGGGUGAUCUGCCCUGCACUUCGGGAUAAGCCUGGGAAACUGGGUCUAAUACCGGAUAGGACCCUGGGAUGCAUGUCCUGGGGUGGAAAGCUUUUGCGGUGUGGGAUGGGCCCGCGGCCUAUCAGCUUGUUGGUGGGGUGAUGGCCUACCAAGGCGACGACGGGUAGCCGGCCUGAGAGGGUGACCGGCCACACUGGGACUGAGAUACGGCCGAGACUGCUACGGGAGGCAGCGGUGGGGAAUAUUGCACAAUGGGCGCAAGCCUGAUGCAGCGACGCCGCGUGAGGGAUGACGGCCUUCGGGUUGUAAACCCCUUUCAGCACCGACGAAGCGCAAGUGACGGUAGGUGCAGAAGAAGGACCGGCCAACUACGUGCCAGCCGCCGCCGUAA
rnacentral:rRNA from 1 species